UAAUAAGCAGAUGUUGGGUCACUCAAUA
rnacentral:piRNA from 1 species